ensembl:lncRNA
UACUUCAGUGCUCAAACGCAUUCAGAUUGUGUCAUUAUUUCAAACUAUUCAGCAAACCUGUGCCAAUCUUUAUCCUGUCCUGCCCGCUUGGUGCCAUGUGGCAGACGGUUCAGACUACUCAGUGACUGCCACUGCCACUCAGGACCAAGGCUUAACUCACAGGCAUACACUAGCACACACAUUUUUUUAAAAAAAAUAUCUCUCCUUACUGAUAAGCAGGGGUGGGAAGUCGUCCUUUUCUCUCCUCCAGCAGGGGCUGAUGGCUACACCUGUCUUUUUUUCGCUCCGGGGGCAAGUUUGUUUAUUUUUGUUUUUUGUGUACAGAGAUGCCCUAUAGAAUGCAGCUCAGUUUGGGGCAUUCCACUCAACAGCUCCUUUCCCCCCAGUUUUUCCAUGCCCGCCUCCCCUUUCUCUCUGUGGCAGCCUCGCUCCGCACUGCCCCCCUCGCAGCUCCAAUCCCUGGAAGUUUGGAACUAAUGAACUGACUGCUGAGCUGCCGCCACGGAGCUUGGUCCCAAACUAUACUGUACUUCACACUCGAUUUAUUCUCCAGAUGGCAAGACUACGCAGCCCUGCCGGGAGGGGCCACCUCUUCCACUGAAGUGUGAAAGUGGACGGAUGUUGUUUUCGGAUCCUCUGUGAUCAGCUCCGAGCUCCCUCAAACCACCCGGCCCUGUAUGUAGAGAAUAAAUCCCCCUGCUAACAGGCA